CUCCCUGCUCAAAAAAUGUCUAUUUAGAACAAAGACCUGGGCAAUGUAGGAAUGGAACUCCUUUCUUCUUCUCCUGGCUUCCUUGAGGAAGGCUUUUUCCUAAGCACCCUCUCCCCUUUUUCCCCACUCCAUCUCAAGAGGGGUGGGUGAUUUAUCUGUUUGGUAAAUCUCUGAAGAAGAACCACUAAUGCAAAUUCUUGCUCUGCUGUUCUUCCUCUUAGAAGCCAGCUGCCCUCUAGAAGCUCAUAUCCCCUGCUACUCCCCCAGUUCCUUUACCCCUCCUGGGUUAAAUCUGUUUAAUUGUGGGAUGAGUAUUAGUAAGAACACAUGGCUACAGACCUAGGGCCAUAUUCUUCAACCUCAUCUCUACCAAUAAUAAGAUGUAAUCAUAAUGCAGAUUUCUAUUUUUACUCUUUGUUUUAUUUUCUCAGUUUGUCCGUAACUCAAGCAAGGAAGAGAGGUACUAUUUAUUGGGGGUCCUCUUGGGGACUCCAACAGAGGGUAAUUAAUAUUUUUCCAAAGAGAAAUGCUAUUCAUUGCAAUUCCAGAAGAGUAAAUAGCAAAACCUCUUUUUUAUUUUAUUUUAAUUCCAGUAUAGUUAAAAUACACUGAUAUACUACUUACAAGUAUACAGUUAAGUUAUUCAACAUUCUAUACAUUACUCAGUGCUCAUCAUGAUUAAGUGUACUCUUAAACAAAACCUUUUACAGACUCCUAAACACACCAAAUAGCUGAAUCUUGAAGACAUGCAAUAUCUCAUUAAGAAUUAUAUCCUCCUUUUAGUAAACAUGAGCAUUCUGAUAGCCAUCUUUCCCUGAAUCACUUAUAGCCACAUUCAAUGGAAUAUAAAUAGUAGAAACAGAAAAAUACAUACUAUAUGCUGAAUUUACCAAUUAUUUCCAUCAGAAAGAGAGUUCAUUCCUUUGUUUUCUGCCUAACAGUAGUUAAAAGCAAACAAAUAAUUGAAUGAGACAUUUCCUGAACUCAGAAAGGGAAAUCAGUUCAACUCCUUUUAUUAUAGCAGAUAAAGAAAAAAAAAAAAUCAGAGCAUUAACAAAAAUCCAGAGAAAGACCUCUUGAAAUAGAACCUAAUUAAUUUUCUUUAAUAACUGUAAAAUGUUUUACUGAAGGACAAAAUGUAGUCUUAGCAAAGUUUAAUGCUCUCCUGAACCCAUCCUGUGCUAUGUGGCCAAAUAGAAGUAUCUAAUGUGAUGUGACAAAAAUAAAAUUUAAAAAGGAUAAAACUAUUGCUCUCAAGAGUAAGAUUCUUAUCAUUCUUCUAGCUAGUGAUCACCUUUGGGCUCUAUUAUUUUCAGGAACUGUUGAUGCUAUUCACAGCAGGACAGAUACAUCAAAAAAGAGGAAAUAAGAGAAAGAAUAGUGACAAAAUAAAUUUUGUAAUAUGUCAUCAAAAAUACUGGAAGGAAGGUGCUUGGCUGUCUUGGUCAGUGGAGCAAGUGACUCUUGAUCUUGAAGUUGUAAGUUUGAGCCCCAUGUUGCAUAUAGAGAUGACUUAAAAAUAAAUAUCUUUAAAAAAAAAAAUACUAGGAGGAAUUGUGAAUCAUUUAGCAAUUAUUCCUGUUUUAUUUUCUUUAAGAUUUUUUAAAUUGAUUUCAUUUUAGGGAGAGAGAGAAAGCCGGGGGAGGGGGAGAGGGAGAGGGAGAGAAUCUCAAGCAAGCUCCCCGCUCCAUCCCACUCCUUCCCCACUGAGCACAGAGACUGACGCAAGACUCGAUCUCACGACCCUGAGAUCAUGACCUGAGCCAAAACCAAGAGUCAGAUGCUUAACUGACUACCCAGCUACACCCAAAUCAUUCCUGUUUUAAAGUGGCACAUUCAGAGCAAGAAUGAAGAUAAAGGAGGAGAGUAUUAUAGACCUCAAUUGCCAUUACAGUGGUUCCAAAGUACUUCUGAUCAUUAGAAAUCAUUUAUUUUUAUUGAAGAAUAAGAAUUCUAACUGGCUUCUUUGCAGAAAAUGACAAGCUAAUUCAAAAAUUCAUGUGGACAUAUGGAUCAAAAAAGAAAUCUCAAGAAAAUUUUUUAAAUAUUUUGAACUAAGUGAAAAUAUAAAAUUUGUGGGAUACAGCUAAAACAAUGCUUAGAGGGAAAUUUAUAGCAUUGAAUGUAUGUAUUAGAAGAGAAAGAUCUAAAAUCAUUAAUUUAAGCUUCCACCUAAAACUGGAAAAAGAAGAGCAAAUUAAAUUCAAAGUAAGCAGAAGUAAAGAAAUAAAAAUUAGAGAAGAAAUUAAUAAAUUGAAAACUUCUCCAGUGAAAACUGAAAAUCAAUGAAAUGAAAAACUGAUUCUCUGAAAAGAUCACUAAAACCAAAAAAGCUUCUAGCCAAGCUAUCCAAAAAAAGAGAGAAAACACAAGUUACAAAUAUCAGAAGUGAAAGAGGGAACAUCACUACAGACCCCAUAAAUAUCAAAAGGAUUAUAAAGGAAUACUAUCUCUGAACAACUCUCUGCUCAAGAAUUUGAUAACCUAGAUAGAACGGACCAAUUUUUUCAAAGAGACGAUCUGCCAAAACUCAUACUAGAAGAAAUAGACAACCUGAAUAGGCCUACAUAUAUUAAAGAAAUGUAAUUAAUAAAUAGUAACCUUCCAAAAGAAAAAGCACCAGGCUCAGAUGGGUUUGCUGGUGAAUUCUAAACAUUUAAGGAAGAAAUUUUUUCAUACUCUGCAAUCUCUUUCAGAAGACAGAAGCAGAGGGGAUUCUUCCUAACUCAUUCUGUGCCUCUCCUGCUGCUCAUGCUCUCUUGUGCG